CUUCAUAUAGUUUAUUAAAACAUUUUAUUUUCAUUAAAAAAAUGACUAUAAAUUAAGUCUAUGAAUG
rnacentral:tRNA from 1 species